rnacentral:rRNA from 1 species
GACGAACGCUGGCGGCGUGCCUUACCCAUGCAAGUCGAACGGGGGAGCAAUCCCCAGUGGCAGACGGCUGAGUAACACGUGAGUACCUACCCAACGUUGGGGGAUAGCCGUCCGAAAGGGCGGGUAAUACCGCGUAAGAUCCCUUCGGGGAUGAGAGCAGAGAUGCGGCGUUGGAGGGGCUCGCGGCCCAUCAGGUAGUAGGUGGGGUGAUGGCCUACCUAGCCGAUGACGGGUAGCUGGUCUGAGAGGAUGAUCAGCCAGACUGGGACUGAGAGACGGCCCAGACUCCUACGGGUGGCAG